GUAACGCGUAGUCAACCUAACCUAUGGACGGGAAUAACCUCGGGAAACUGAGAAUAAUGCCCGAUAGAACACUAUACCUGGAAUGGUUUGUGUUCCAAAUGAUUUAUCGCCGUAGGAUGGGACUGCGGCCUAUCAGUUUGUUGGUGAGGUAAUGGCCCACCAAGACUAUUACAGGUACGGGCUCUGAGAGGAGUAGCCCGGAGAUGGGUACUGAGACACGGACCCAGGCCCUAUGGGGCGCAGCAGGCGAGAAAACUUUGCAAUGUGCGAAAGCACGACAAGGUUAAUCCGAGUGGUUUCUGCUAAAGAAACCUUUUGUCGGUCCUAGAAACACCGAUGAAUAAGGGGUGGGCAAGUUCUGGUGU
rnacentral:rRNA from 1 species